UUCUACAUACAGAAUAGUUUGAA
rnacentral:snRNA from 1 species